rnacentral:rRNA from 1 species
UACGUAGGGUGCAAGCGUUAAUCGGAAUUACUGGGCGUAAAGCGUGCGCAGGCGGCUUUGCAAGACAGAUGUGAAAUCCCCGGGCUUAACCUGGGAACUGCGCUUGUAACUGGCAAGCUGGAGUGUGGCAGAGGGGGGUGGAAUUCCGACGUGUAGCAGUGAAAUGCGUAGAGAUGUGGAGGAACACCGAUGGCGAAGGCAGCCCCCUGGGCUAACACUGACGCUCAUGCACGAAAGCGUGGGGAGCAAACAGG